ACGAACGCUGGCGGCGUGCCUAAUACAUGCAAGUUGAGCGCUGAAGGUUGGUACUUGUACCAACUGGAUGAGCAGCGAACGGGUGAGUAACGCGUGGGGAAUCUGCCUUUGAGCGGGGGACAACAUUUGGAAACGAAUGCUAAUACCGCAUAAAAACUUUAAACACAAGUUUUAAGUUUGAAAGAUGCAAUUGCAUCACUCAAAGAUGAUCCCGCGUUGUAUUAGCUAGUUGGUGAGGUAAGGCUCACCAAGGCGAUGAUACAUAGCCGACCUGAGAGGGUGAUCGGCCACAUUGGGACUGAGACACGGCCCAAACUCCUACGGGAGGCAGCAGUAGGGAAUCUUCGGCAAUGGACGAAAGUCUGACCGAGCAACGCCGCGUGAGUGAAGAAGGUUUUCGGAUCGUAAAACUCUGUUGGUAGAGAAGAACGCUGGUGAGAGUGGAAAGCUCAUCAAGUGACGGUAACUACCCAGAAAGGGACGGCUAACUACGUG
rnacentral:rRNA from 1 species